GAUGAACGCUGGCGGCGUGCCUAAUACAUGCAAGUCGAGCGAACGGACGAGAAGCUUGCUUCUCUGAUGUUAGCGGCGGACGGGUGAGUAACACGUGGAUAACCUACCUAUAAGACUGGGAUAACUUCGCGAAACCGGAGCUAAUACCGGAUAAUAUUUUGAACCGCAUGGUUCAAAAGUAAAAGACGGUCUUGCUGUCACUUAUAGAUGGAUCCGCGCUGCAUUAGCUAGUUGGUAAGGUAACGGCUUACCAAGGCAACGAUGCAUAGCCGACCUGAGAGAGUGAUCGGCCACCCUGGAACUGAGGAACGGUCCAGACUCCUACGGGAGGCAGCAGUAGGGAAUCUUCCGCAAUGCGCGAAAGCCUAACGGAGCGACGCCGCGUGAGUGAUGAAGAUCUUCGGAUCGGAAAACUCUGUUGUUAGGGAAGAACAUAUGUGUAAGUAACUGUGCACAUCUUGACGGUACCUAAUCAGAAAGCCCCGGCUAACUACGUG
rnacentral:rRNA from 1 species